AUACGGAGGAUGCGAGCGUUAUCCGGAUUUAUUGGGUUUAAAGGGAGCGUAGGCGGGAGCUUAAGUCAGCGGUUAAAUGGUGCGGCUCAACCGUGCCCUGCCGUUGAAACUGGGUUUCUUGAGAGUGCAAGAGGCGGAUGGAAUUCAUGGUGUAGCGGUGAAAUGCUUAGAUAUCAUGAAGAACUCCGAUUGCGAAGGCAGUCCGCUGGGGCACGUCUGACGCUGAUGCUCGAAGGUGCGGGAAUCAAACAGGAUUAGAUACCCUGGUAGUCCGCACGGUAAACGAUGAUUACCCGCUGUCGGCGGCAGACAGUCGGCGGCCAAGCGAAAGCGAUAAGUAAUCCACCUGGGGAGUACGCCGGCAACGGUGAGACUCAAAUGAAUUGGCGGGG
rnacentral:rRNA from 1 species